ACCUAUCUCCAGUUUGUGCGUGGAUCAGACGCCAUCAAAUCCGUCCGUUUUCAUCAGCCCAUCCAAUGGUGUUAGAUUCACGCACAAACUCGUGAUCCGUCU
rnacentral:pre_miRNA from 1 species